AUUGAACGCUGGCGGAAUGCUUUACACAUGCAAGUCGAACGGCAGCACGGGGCAACCUGGUGGCGAGUGGCGAACGGGUGAGUAAUACAUCGGAACGUGCCCAGUCGUGGGGGAUAACGUAGCGAAAGCUACACUAAUACCGCAUACGAUCUACGGAUGAAAGCGGGGGACUCGCAAGAGCCUCGCGCGAUUGGAGCGGCCGAUGGCAGAUUAGGUAGUUGGUGGGGUAAAGGCUCACCAAGCCUGCGAUCUGUAGCUGGUCUGAGAGGACGACCAGCCACACUGGAACUGAGACACGGUCCAGACUCCUACGGGAGGCAGCAGUGGGGAAUUUUGGACAAUGGGCGCAAGCCUGAUCCAGCCAUUCCGCGUGCAGGAUGAAGGCC
rnacentral:rRNA from 1 species